rnacentral:rRNA from 1 species
CCUACGGGGGGCUGCAGUGGGGAAUAUUGGACAAUGGGGGCAACCCUGAUCCAGCCAUGCCGCGUGUGUGAAGAAGGCCCUCGGGUUGUAAAGCACUUUCAGUGAGGAAGAACGCCUGGUGGUUAAUACCCAUCAGGAAAGACAUCACUCACAGAAGAAGCACCGGCUAACUCCGUGCCAGCAGCCGCGGUAAUACGGAGGGUGCGUGCGUUAAUCGGAAUUACUGGGCGUAAAGCGCGCGUAGGUGGCUUGAUAAGCCGGUUGUGAAAGCCCCGGGCUCAACCUGGGAACGGCAUCCGGAACUGUCAAGCUAGAGUGCAGGAGAGGAAGGUAGAAUUCCCGGUGUAGCGGUGAAAUGCGUAGAGAUCGGGAGGAAUACCAGUGGCGAAGGCGGCCUUCUGGACUGACACUGACACUGAGGUGCGAAAGCGUGGGUAGCAAACAGGAUUAGAUACCCUAGUAGUC